rnacentral:rRNA from 1 species
GAACGCUGGCGGCGUGCCUAACACAUGCAAGUCGAACGAAGCUUGAGGAAUGAUUUCUUCGGAAUGAAUUCUGAUAUGACUUAGUGGCGGACGGGUGAGUAACACGUGAGCAACCUGCCUUUCAGAGGGGGAUAACGGCUGGAAACGGUCGCUAAUACCGCAUGAAAUGUUUGGAUGGCAUCGUCUGAACAUCAAAGAUUUAUCGCUGAAAGAUGGGCUCGCGUCUGAUUAGAUAGUUGGUGAGGUAACGGCUCACCAAGUCGACGAUCAGUAGCCGGACUGAGAGGUUGAACGGCCACAUUGGGACUGAGAUACGGCCCAGACUCCUACGGGAGGCAGCAGUGGGGGAUAUUGCACAAUGGGGGAAACCCUGAUGCAGCGACGCCGCGUGAGGGAAGACGGUCCUCUGGAUUGUAAACCUCUGUCUUCGGGGACGAAACGAGACGGUACCCGAGGAGGAAGCCACGGCUAACUACGUGCCAGCAGCCGCGGUAAUACGUAGGUGGCAAGCGUUGUCCGGAAUUACUGGGUGUAAAGGGAGCGUAGGCGGGCAGGCAAGUCAGGCGUGAAAUAUAUCGGCUCAACCGGUAUCUGCGCUUGAAACUGCAGGUCUUGAGUGAAGUAGAGGUUGGCGGAAUUCCUAGUGUAGCGGUGAAAUGCGUAGAUAUUAGGAGGAACACCAGUGGCGAAGGCGGCCAACUGGGCUUUUACUGACGCUGAGGCUCGAAAGUGUGGGGAGCAAACAGGAUUA